AUGGUGGUGGCAGCAAACUUAUAACAUGACACAGAUGCACACCAUCCAAUCUGAUGGAUCUUGAGAUGAUCCGCUAUGAACUGCCCAACCUUAGGUGUGCAAGCCUGUGGAGACGUUUCCAAGAAGACCUACAGCUGUGAUUGCUGCCAGUGAGGCUUCUUCCUUCAGUAUUAAUUAAAAGAUGACUAUGGGAAGGAAGGCAGAAAGAGGGAGCGACCGACUUCUUAAAUGCUCGGAUAUUAAUGCUUCAGCCACAUCCAACCCGGCAAUCGGCGUAGACGACUGCACGCAAUUUAUCAUCCCGGGGUCCUGUGGGGGUCCUGACCACUGAAGAACAGCAUGAAAGGGGGCUAACAGAUGGAC